UUUUUUUAAAGCAUAACACUCUCUCUCUCUCUCAAUUAUCAAGACUAAAUCUCUCUCUAAAUUAUCAAGAAGCGAACACUGCUCAUCAUCUCUCUCUCUCGCUCGAUCCAGCCGUCGCCGCCCCCGCGUCCUGGCCGUUCCGGUCGCCAGCGAGGCCGGCGUUAAUCUGUCGACCACGCCGCCUGCUCCCUCAUCUCCUCUCCCUCGAUUUUUCUCCCCCCUCUCUUCUCCUCUAUCUCUCUCGCUCUCUCGGCCGCUGGACCCAGGCGCAGCAGACACCACCACCGCGGUGUGCCGCCAUCGCCGGGCCGCCGCCUGCUCCCUCAUCCUCGCGGCAGAUCCGCCGCCGCCGUUCAACGCCACGGCCGCCACCUGUUCUCCCUCUCUCUCUAUCCCUAACUCUCACACACGCCGGCAGACACGGCGUAAGCCGCCGCCGCCGCGCCUGGUGUAUCUUCUCCAGCCGAAGGCCGGAGCCACCGCCGCCACUGCUUCCAUCGACCGGCAGCCUAAGAUCGGAGACCACCUCGGCUCCGUCGCCGACCGUCGACCGCCGGCAGCCACCGCGGCUGCCGUCCCCUGACCUUGACUCACACACACAGUAGGGUUCAAGCCACAAUUCAGUUCACAAAAUAGCAUAGGAUUUUUUUCUUAGCACAUAUCAUUCUCAUACUGUAAUUGCUUAAUGAAAUCUGAAAUUCUUUUCUUGAAACUGAACUAGUCUGUAAAUUUCAGUUCAUAUGUGCAUAUGUAAACAUGUUGUGAAAUAUCAGAA